UGAGGGCCCCUCUGCGUGUUCACAGCGGACCUUGAUUUAAUGUCUAUACAAUUAAGGCACGCGGUGAAUGCCAAGAGAGGCGCCUCC
ensembl:miRNA MIR124-3 microRNA 124-3